rnacentral:rRNA from 1 species
GACUUAACUGAACCUUCGGGGAACGUUAAGGCGGCGAGCGGCGGACGGGUGAGUAAUGCCUGGGAAUAUGCCCUGAUGUGGGGGAUAACUAUUGGAAACGAUAGCUAAUACCGCAUAAUCUCUUCGGAGCAAAGAGGGGGACCUUCGGGCCUCUCGCGUCAGGAUUAGCCCAGGUGGGAUUAGCUUGUUGGUGAGGUAAUGGCUCACCAAGGCAACGAUCCCUAGCUGGUCUGAGAGGAUGAUCAGCCACACUGGAACUGAGACACGGUCCAGACUCCUACGGGAGGCAGCAGUGGGGAAUAUUGCACAAUGGGGGAAACCCUGAUGCAGCCAUGCCGCGUGUAUGAAGAAGGCCUUCGGGUUGUAAAGUACUUUCAGUAGGGAGGAAGGCAGUGUCGUUAAUAGCGGCAUUGUUUGACGUUACCUACAGAAGAAGCACCGGCUAACUCCGUGCCAGCAGCGCGGUAAUACGGAGGGUGCGAGCGUUAAUCGGAAUUACUGGGCGUAAAGCGCAUGCAGGCGGUCUGUUAAGCAAGAUGUGAAAGCCCGGGGCUCAACCUCGGAACAGCAUUUUGAACUGGCAGACUAGAGUCUUGUAGAGGGGGGUAGAAUUUCAGGUGUAGCGGUGAAAUGCGUAGAGAUCUGAAGGAAUACCGGUGGCGAAGGCGGCCCCCUGGACAAAGACUGACGCUCAGAUGCGAAAGCGUGGGGAGCAAACAGGAUU